UUGAACUUGCAAGUCGACAUGAGGUAUGUUUAUGCCAUAUAAUAGAUCAUCAUCCAUACAUUUUAUCAUUCAAAAGAAGACAUUUAUGUUAUUGUUUCUUUAUGUGCUUAGUAUAAUGAUCAGUUGGCGUUUGAAGAGGGCUUUAUAUUUUAAAUAUUUUAGGUUAAGUAGGACUAGAGUAUAUCACUAUAUGUUAUGCCAUGCAAUACCAUUAAAUCUGGAGAUGUGGAUAAUGGUAGUCAAAUUUGAAGGUCAAUAAAUAUCCAAGUAAAUCUGGGUACCGUGUAUCCAUUAUCAAUAGAUAAAAGAGGUUAGGUAUGAUCUUGUCUAUAUAACUAGAGUAGGAUGGAAAAAAUUUAGUGAUGGCACUGGUAUUUUGUGUGAUCAUUAUAAUAGAACAGAAAGGUGGCUGCAAGAUUUAAGGUUUGUUUUAGUUAAUGUGAAUCUUAUGAAGUAAUGGUCGGUUGGUAUAGGCAGCAAGCAACUCAAGAAAAAUCAGUUUCAAAUAUUUUCUAGCUUUUGGAGUACCUUGGGAAAAAAGAAUUUUCUUUCAAUAAAGAAACUAUUAAAGUGUUUGCGCUUAUAAGGAUGUCAUAUGUUGUUCAUUUGUAGUUGAAUAUAACUAAAAAUUAUACAAAAAAGAGUAAAUUUGGACUUUCAUUGGUUGGUGGAGGUGGCCACCGAUGCUCAUAGUUAUCAAAGGCUCAAGGCGCACCGAGGCGCCAAGGUGUCUUGGAGCCUAGGCGCAAGGAGCAAGGCACAGGCGCCCGCCGGAGCAAGGCACAGGCGCCCGCCUGAGCAAGGCACAGGCGCCCGCCCGAGCGAGCCAAGGCCAAAAAAUAAAAAAUUAAAAAAAUUAUAAUUAUACUAUCACUCCUCAAGUAACAUAAAACUACAUAAUAAUAACUAACAAAUAUGCAGUAAUAAUAAGUUUAUAAUCCAA
rnacentral:misc_RNA from 1 species